rnacentral:misc_RNA from 1 species
CCAAUGCGCCAAUAAGAAUGUACUGCAUGCAAGAACAAGGGUCAUAAUUCAAAAGAAUUGGUAUUUUCCUUGUAGUAGUUAAAGGCACCAUAGACAGUGAGAAUGAAACCAAAAGAAGAAUCCUAGAUACAAUUUCACCCUGAAUAGAUGAUUAUUUCAGUUUUAUCAAAUGAUUCGUAGAGAAAAGCAAACCUUGAUGAUAGGCUUUUCAGUCAU